CCUCUCAUGGCAGAUAGUACCCAUGAUGUGCAGAGGCCCCAAAGAGAAGGUGUCUCACUCAAGGACAGUGGACCAGUGGUGGCUACGCCAAGCCUGGCGCCUGGGCCUCUGAUCAGAAAGAGCAACAGUGGCCUGGGUUUCCGAGACCCUUGUUACCUUCUUGAAAAAACUGAUUCCGGAGUCCCUGGGUAGCCCUCCAGGGUGAGGAGAUGGCUUGCUACUUGGAUCCUCGUACAUCUGUUGGGGAUAUGCAGCAUCCAGGUCUGCUAUAGAGUAAGCUGUAGGCAGCACUGCAACUGAACUCGUCUUUCUGGAAGAAAAUGAGCUCUAAAGCCUCCCUACUCAAAGUGUGGUCCUCAAGACAGAAGUAUUGGCCCUCCUGGGAGCUGGUCAGGAAUUCAGCCUCUCAGGCCCCCGAACCUACAGAACCCGAAUCUGCAGUUCAACAGAAGCCCCCGGUGAGCCCUGGGGCCCAUCCCAGUCAGGGAGCCAGCAGGUCUUCAGCCACUGCACGGAAGUGGGCGAACAAGACACAGGAGGUGCCUGUGUCCACUGAGGCUGCCCUGGGCAGCAUGAACUCUAGGAUUGCUGGGGGGGAGCGGGGCAAGCUCAUGCCUCAAGGAGACCCUGCCCCUGCCAUCAGCAGGCCAUCUGCAGCCCUCUUGUAGCCACAGAGGAGCAGGCCGAGAGUGCCAAGGGGACGAAGGACAGAGGCUCAUCGGAGCCUGAGUCUGCCCAGGGGAGUCGGGUGCUGCACUGGGACUGAG
rnacentral:lncRNA from 1 species